UCAACAUUACAGCAUCCUAGUUAAGUAUUAGUUUCCUCAUUUUACGUGUGGAGAAACAGACAUAGAGAAGGUAAUGUUUUGAUCCAGGAAAGCAAGCUGCCAUGAUACUUUGUUCUAUCUACUGAAGUCUCCAUCUGUCUACAGUGAUUGUCUCCCAAAAAACCUGAGAAUACAAAGUACUGGGGCAUAGUGUUGCAGCAGCCAUCUUGGGAAAGUCUAGAUCCAGAUCCUGUGAAAAUUCUCCUCCACUCACGAGCCUUCCCCUAUUGGUUGACAGUUUCGUGGUUCCAGUGGAACAUAGCUGUUGCGGGAUGUCAUGCUCAUGGCAACCACUCAGGGAUCUGAUCCAGCAAACCCUUACAUGAAUAGUUCCAGCAUUAGGAUUGUAGGAAGGACUACUGGCAUGAACAUAGUGUCUCCACCUUAUGACUGUAU